rnacentral:rRNA from 1 species
CCAAUAGCGUAUAUUAAAGUUGUUGCAGUUAAAAAGCUCGUAGUUGAAUUUCGGGAUUGGCGCAUCGGUCGUGCCUCACGGGGUAUGAACUGGUGCAGUCAGUUUCUCACCUUCUGGAGAACCGCGAUGUCCUUAAUUGGAUGCCGUGGGGAACCAGGACCUUUACUUUGAAAAAAUUAGAGUGUUUAAAGCAGGCAUUUUUGCUUGAAUACAUUAGCAU